rnacentral:lncRNA from 1 species
AACGCUGCGGCCCCGCCCACGUCAUGGCGCCCGAGGAGAACGCGGGGACCGAACUCUUGCUGCAGAGUUUGGAGCGCCGCUUCCUGGCGGCGCGUGCACUGCGCUCCUUCCCCUGGCAGAGCUUAGAAGCAAAGUUAAGAGACUCAUCAGAUUCUGAGCUGCUGCGGGAUAUUUUGCAGAAGACGUGCUGUAUAGCCCAGAAGCCAUCGUGUCGCUGGUCGGGGUCCUGCGGAGGCUGGCUGCCUGCCGGGAGCACCAGCGGGCUCCUCAAGUCUAUGUGGCCCUUACCAUCUGCAACCCAGAGACGUGCCAGCUGUUCACCACUGAGCUAUGCCGGGCUGGGAUCAGAUGGGAAGUGGAACCUCGUCAUGACCAGAAACUGUUUCCCUACGAAGAGCACUUGGAGAUGGCAAUGCUGAACCUCACACUGUAGGACUCACAUACGACUCCAACGGGAUUGUGAGAAUCAAGUCACUCUAGUGGGAAGAGUUUUUAUAUGGGAAAGCGGAUAAAACUUUCAUUGGACUGGAAUGUUUGGAGAAUGUUAAUUUCCAAAUCAGGAACCACAAACUGCCCUCUAAUAAGACAUCAGCUAUCUAAGCAUGUGGGUGCUCCCUUUCUGCCAGCAGUUCUGGUUCUUAAGAAAAUCGCCAUCAAUCAGACAUGAAAUCUCUGGCUCCAAAAAUAGCAUUUUCUUUGUGCAAAUAAAAACGUGUGUAUCAAGUAUGAUGUUCCCCCAAUGUGGACACACUCGGUUCCCCACAAAGCCAAGCCCGCUGCAGCUGCCACAUCCCUGGACACAUUCGGUUCCUCACAAAGCCAAGCCCGCUGCAGCUGCCACAUCCGUGGACACACUCGGUUCUUCACAAAGCCAAGCCCACUGCAGCUGCCACAUCCCUGGGCUUACAGUGCAGCAGGUGCUUUUUUCAAGACAGGAAUCAAAAUGUUAGGAACACGGCGGAAAGAUGACACCUGGAGAGCAAACGCAGGAUGAGGAGUACUGCAGAGGUCACACGGAAGUCGCAGAACAGUAAUCCGCUAGCAGGGGCAUGGGGCGUGAAGAACAGAAGAAGAUAGGAAGUGUUUCCGAGCCUCCAGAAAAGAAAUCAGAGCCAAGCACAGCUUCCCGGGUCACAGAACCAAUUCAUUUACCAGGCGGCACCACUGCCGUCAUUUCACCUUCUGGCCACUGGGAGGCGCUGCUCGAAAGGGUUUGCCCUGAGACUCCGAGAAGAAGCUGCGGGAAGGACAGCAGGGGUCCCGGGGUUUUAGCCUCUGGCCCAGGAGUUAUGUGUCCAUAACCAAAUGGAGCACACUCUGCACCCAGCUCUCAUCCCAUCGGAGCUGCUGCGAUUCCCGCAGGUUCUUCCAGAACUGGUUUAGCUUGCCCGCAGGAUCAGGAAAGUUUGAGAAAAGCAUCUGCAAAAAAAUAAAGAGCAGAGCUUAACUCAUUUCCUGUCCCCACCCCAUCCCAGGUCACCACCUGGCUGACCCCAGGUCCCCGACCCAACAACAAACCCUCCCAAGUUCCUAACUCCCUCACUUGGACUCGAGACUCUUCACGCCCCAGCAGCGCUCCGCCUCCAACUUGACAUCACGCUUUCUGUCCCACUUUCCCACACUUCGUGCCCUGGAGCACCUCCCGGCCUCUACACGCUGUAUGUUCCCCUGCGAGCACCCUCCUCUUGGCCUCUGGCCAAGUCCCACCCAUCUGUGGGUAACAAGGGGGUGUUGGUGUUCUUUUCAGCCUUGCUAAACUGUCUGAAUCAAGGAUCACAAACUACAGCCUGCAGGCCAAAUCCAGCCCACAGCCUGUGUUUGUAAAUAAAGUUUUAUUGGAACAAAGCCACACCCCUUAA